rnacentral:lncRNA from 1 species
CCGGUGGCUCUCGCGAGUUUACUGAGAGCCCCCGUCAGGCUCGAAUGGGGGUGGUUCUUAAAGAGAGAGGACCGGGGUCGUCGUCUUUUCAGUCCAUUCUCCUUGAAUAGGGUGGACAUCUGAGGCUUUGCGACUCGAAGCUAGGCACUUGGGCCCGACGCGCGGUUUGAACGGUGCUUGAGAAGCCGCGAAGAAGCGCCUCGCGCUCAGCGGCUUCUUCGCUGACGAAGUGCUGCGGUCUGCGUGCGUCAUGGCUGCACGGAAUAGUGUGGAGGAGUCCUGGCCAGUAGGUCUGGAUGAGGAACCUGCCUCCGGGCGGUCCGGGACCCUCACCUGCAGGGGCGAAAGAGGCCUGUUUUCUCUCGCCCCAGAGCUAGGACGGGCUCACUUUGGACUUAGAACUUUAUGGGGUGGAAGACAGCGGGGGCUGCCUGAGCUUGGAGACCUGAGGUAUCUGGUCCCAUGUAUGAUUUGGCCUGAGCCGUUGAGAAUGGGGGUGGAGAGAGUUGAAACAAAAUGGGCAUCCACAUACGGUUAGAACUUUAUCUUUUUGAGUUAGGAUUUUUAGGUGGCUACUUUGUCCCCCCUCACCUCGUCUGGGUUCAAAUAUUGAGCCCAGACCGUGUGCUGGACCCUGUUUUCCUGGGGAUACAGAGGUGAACCAAACAGAUGACAGUACUUACCCUUAUGGAGCUUAUAGUCGAUUGGGUUUUUAAGUUUGUGAUUUUAUACUUUUUGUAAUAAAAUAAUUACACAAAUGCUUAAGUACUUCAGGGUGCUCUGAGAGUGUAUGGCGGGGACCCAGCUCUGAAAUGAGACCCAAAGGAUGAUUAAGAGUUUGUCAGGAGGAAACAGAAUACAGUUGAGAACUACAGAAACGCCAGUGUGCUGGCACAAGGUCAGGGACGGGGAGAGUGGUUUGAGGGAGCAGCAGGGGAAGAGGUCAUGUAGGGUCUUUUAAGCCAGAUUCAGAAGUUUGGUUUCUUUCAAGAACAGUGGGUAGUUUAAAGGGUUUAGAGCCCUGGUGUGGACUGGAGAGAGUACAGGAGAAGCCCAGAGACCAUUUUGGCUGCUUCAUUAUCAUGUGAGAGAUGAUUUUCGCUUACAUUAGGGUGGUGACAGUGCAGAUAGAAGUGAAUGAAGGGCCUGGUGCAGUGGCCCACGGCUGUAAUCCCAGCACUUUGGGAGGCCAAAGGGGAGGAUCGCUUGAGCCCAGGAGUUUGCGAGCAGCCUGGGCAACAUGGCAAGAUUCCGUCUCUACAAAAUUACAAAAUAUUAGCCUGGUGUGGUGGCCCGCGCCUGUAGUCCCAGCUGCUUGGGAGGCUGAGGUGGGAGAAACCCUUGAGCCGAGGAAUUCGAGGCUGCAGUGAGCUGAGAUCACACCACUACACUCCAGCCUGGGUGACAGAGCGAGACCUUGUCUCGAGGAAAAAAAAAAAGUGAAUAGGACUGGAUGAUGGAUUGGUUGAGGAAAACCAAGAAUGGUUCCCAGAGUACUGAAGUGGUGACAUUUACUGAGGUGGGAAAGGUGAGGAGUAGGUGUUGGGGGAUGAUUGAGAAUUUCAUCUUGGGCCUGUUAAGUUUGAGAUUGCUUAUGAGACAUGUAAGUAGGGAUGUCCGUCAUGCGCUUUCAUUUGUAUGGUUUUUGAAUACUUUUUGCAUGUGUUAUAAACUGUGUCCACACUUUGAAGAUGGGGGUAUGACCUCCAUUUCAUACAUGGGGAAACUGAGGCAAAGAAAAGUGAAAGGGAUCUGCUCAGAGUCCACAGCUAGUUUAUGGCUUCCCGACUCCAUUUUUGGAGUCCAGUGUAUUAUACAGUGACCCCAUUACCUGUAUUUUCAUAGGGUGGGGACACGGUCAUACUUCUGUCCCCCAGGAAAUGAAUCUCAGGUUGGAACCUCUUCUUUGGGUUCCAUUUUGUAGUUUUUGGCAUAUGUUUAUUUGUUAUAUAAUAUUGUACUCCUGCUGUGUGUGUGUCAUUCACUGUGUUUAGUAGUGAACGGAGGGGUCUUCUUAGUCAUAAACACUGCUUACUGACUAGGAAUCAACUGUGUCCAAGGUUUUCCUUCAUUCCUCUUGCC